AGUGAACGCUGGCGGUAGGCCUAACACAUGCAAGUCAAACGGCAGCACAGGAGAGCUUGCUCUCUGGGUGGCGAGUGGCGGACGGGUGAGGAAUACAUCGGAAUCUACUCUGUCGUGGGGGAUAACGUAGGGAAACUUACGCUAAUACCGCAUACGACCUACGGGUGAAAGCAGGGGACCUUCGGGCCUUGCGCGAUUGAAUGAGCCGAUGUCGGAUUAGCUAGUUGGCGGGGUAAAGGCCCACCAAGGCGACGAUCCGUAGCUGGUCUGAGAGGAUGAUCAGCCACACUGGAACUGAGACACGGUCCAGACUCCUACGGGAGGCAGCAGUGGGGAAUAUUGGACAAUGGGCGCAAGCCUGAUCCAGCCAUACCGCGUGGGUGAAGAAGGCCUUCGGGUUGUAAAGCCCUUUUGUUGGGAAAGAAAUCCAGCUGGCUAAUACCCGGUUGGGAUGACGGUACCCAAAGAAUAGGCACCGGCUAACUUCGUGCCAGCAGCCGCGGUAA
rnacentral:rRNA from 1 species